GGUACUAUCAAGAGACAUGCACUAAAACUGGAACAAUACAGAGAAGGUUAGGAAGGCCCCCACACAAGGAUGACACAGAAAUCUGUCAAGUGUUCCAAAUUUUU
rnacentral:snRNA from 1 species